AGAGUUUGAUCCUGGCUCAGGAUGAACGCUAGCUACAGGCUUAACACAUGCAAGUCGAGGGGCAGCAUCAUCAAAGCUUGCUUUGAUGGAUGGCGACCGGCGCACGGGUGAGUAACACGUAUCCAACCUGCCGACAACACUGGGAUAGCCUUUCGAAAGAAAGAUUAAUACCGGAUGGCAUAAUUAUUCCGCAUGGGAUAAUUAUUAAAGAAUUUCGGUUGUCGAUGGGGAUGCGUUCCAUUAGGCAGUUGGCGGGGUAACGGCCCACCAAACCUACGAUGGAUAGGGGUUCUGAGAGGAAGGUCCCCCACAUUGGAACUGAGACACGGUCCAAACUCCUACGGGAGGCAGCAGUGAGGAAUAUUGGUCAAUGGACGAGAGUCUGAACCAGCCAAGUAGCGUGAAGGAUGACUGCCCUAUGGGUUGUAAACUUCUUUUAUACGGGAAUAAAGUGAGCCACGUGUGGCUUUUUGUAUGUACCGUAUGAAUAAGGAUCGGCUAACUCCGUGCCAGCAGCCGCGGUAAUACGGAGGAUCCGAGCGUUAUCCGGAUUUAUUGGGUUUAAAGGGAGCGUAGGCGGGUUGUUAAGUCAGUUGUGAAAGUUUGCGGCUCAACCGUAAAAUUGCAGUUGAUACUGGCGACCUUGAGUGCAACAGAGGUAGGCGGAAUUCGUGGUGUAGCGGUGAAAUGCUUAGAUAUCACGAAGAACUCCGAUUGCGAAGGCAGCUUACUGGAUUGUAACUGACGCUGAUGCUCGAAAGUGUGGGUAUCAAACAGGAUUAGAUACCCUGGUAGUCCACACAGUAAACGAUGAAUACUCGCUGUUGGCGAUAUACAGUCAGCGGCCAAGCGAAAGCAUUAAGUAUUCCACCUGGGGAGUACGCCGGCAACGGUGAAACUCAAAGGAAUUGACGGGGGCCCGCACAAGCGGAGGAACAUGUGGUUUAAUUCGAUGAUACGCGAGGAACCUUACCCGGGCUUAAAUUGCAACUGACGGAACCGGAAACGGUUCUUUCUUCGGACAGUUGUGAAGGUGCUGCAUGGUUGUCGUCAGCUCGUGCCGUGAGGUGUCGGCUUAAGUGCCAUAACGAGCGCAACCCUUACGGGUAGUUACCAUCAGGUUAUGCUGGGGACUCUACCCGGACUGCCGUCGUAAGAUGUGAGGAAGGUGGGGAUGACGUCAAAUCAGCACGGCCCUUACGUCCGGGGCUACACACGUGUUACAAUGGGGGGUACAGAAGGCAGCUACACGGCGACGUGGUGCUAAUCCCAAAAGCCUCUCUCAGUUCGGAUUGGAGUCUGCAACCCGACUCCAUGAAGCUGGAUUCGCUAGUAAUCGCGCAUCAGCCACGGCGCGGUGAAUACGUUCCCGGGCCUUGUACACACCGCCCGUCAAGCCAUGAAAGCCGGGGGUACCUGAAGUACGUAACCGCGAGGAGCGUCCUAGGGUAAAACUGGUGAUUGGGGCUAAGUCGUAACAAGGUAGCCGUACCGGAAGGUGCGGCUG
rnacentral:rRNA from 2 species